UUUUCCCUCUCUGUGUCCCUUUUCUGCCUUGCUCUCCUCUCAUAUUAGACAAAAUUUCUUUACUGUAAGACUGCCACAGUUGGUGGGGAUCACUGAGGACAAGGAGCAGUUGUGGCACAAAUGGAGCAGCGCUCAAGAGACGGAGGGUUCCGGUGACUUUUCGGUGGACGCAGAAGACUUGCCGUCGUAUUUCCACGUUCCGGGAACAACAACUAUUACCGGGGCAGGCAAGUGCCGACCAGAUUUAGGUCCCUGGAAGAUUAGAAGAUUGUCUUCAAAGUGGUCUGUUUUGAUGGCAGUCUGAAACAAUCGAAGAGGGAAGAGAAUCAGAAAAUGGACAAGAAUGAGUGAGCAUCUGGCUUUGGAGGCAGCCAUUUUAAAAACAAAACAAAACAAAACAAAAAGCUGGCCAGGAACUUUGGCUUGUUCCUACCUGUUAAGAUGGUCCUUCUCAGCUCCAGACAUGCCAGACCUUAGAAGGACUAAUACGUCACAAGUGUAGUAUAAACCACGCACUGUCUUCAAAGAACCCAAGUAGGUAAGCUCUAUGUGCUGAAAGCACAAUAUUAAAUCAAAUGUCAAAACUGCCUAAAAUGCUGCUGAAACUGUUGAAAGCUCCAAGAGGUUUUUUGAAGAGCUGACAGCUCUAUCUGAAGAUAAGAUUUAAC
rnacentral:lncRNA from 1 species